ensembl:lncRNA
UUUUGUUUUCCCUCCCAUAAAUGCUUAGGAAAAAAGACCUGCAAAGCUGGAGAGUGGCUUCAGGGUGAAUUUUCUGUGGUUUAAGGCUUUUCAGACCCCAGUUAGCCCUCUGCCCACCUGGGCAAAUGAAAGACAGGAAUGAAAAAAUAAAAAGGAGAGAUCACGGUAAACAUGUAAAUCUCCUUUUUACCUCAUGAUCUUUGUAGAAAAGACGUCAGUGGCAGCAAAGCUAGAAACCCAAGUGACAACAUGGAGGAAGCAAGAGGACCAUGAGAAGAAACAGGAAGCUGACCACAUGUCUUUCUUGAAAGACUUUCCUUUGUUUCUCUGUAGCUGAAAUUGUGAGCUCAAAGGCCUUCCAGUGUGGUCAAGGAAACAGCUUCCAAGAAACAACUAGAGAACGAGGCGAGAGAGCAGAGCAUCAGGAUUCAGGUAAGAAAAAAAAAUCAGACCAGAUGAAAAAGAUGAGAGGUAGAGAGAAUCAGGGAAGGCUUCUGGGAGGAGGCGAGUCUUGAACACUGACUUGGAGAGUUGAGGCAUGGAGAGCGGUGGGGAGGGUAUCCCAGGCUAGUGGGGCAGGGACUGGUGCAAAAGAACAAAGGAUGCAAAGAGCAAUGUUUGUUGAGGGAGGCAGCAUGGCUGAAGAGGAGGGUGCGGGUUGCAAGGUCAUUGUGCAGAUGUGAAAGGAACAUACUGUACUGGUGGGAGCAAGGAAAUAGACUUUGUUUCCCUUUUGAGAAUGACAUGGCCCCAGGGGAGCAUGGGGGAGGCUUCCUCAAUUCCCUCAACUCCCCCGCAGCCCCCCACACACAUACGCAGGCUCAGCCUUCCACCUCCUCCCCUCCAUGCUUGCAGCGCUAAGGGGUGACUUAGAAGAUGAGACUGAUCCUGCAGACAAAAAUCAGUGUAAUUAUUUUACAGUCCUACUGUAAGCAUGCGGGUUGCUGUGUGGGUGUGCGUGUGUGUGUGUGCAUGUGCGUGCAUACUACUCUGCAAAGGCAUACACAAAGCAUGUCUUGUACUCUGUAAAACUGAAGCAGAGCAGGUGGCAACCUAUUUGGCACCCUUUAAGGCAGGCUGCAUGGCAGAGUGAGAUGGACAAAAGACUUGGAUUCAAAUCCUGACUCACUGCCCAACUGGAGGACCCUUCACCUCUCUGAGCCUCAUUUUGCUCAUCUGUAAAAUGGGGAUAAAAUUACCUACCUCAUAAGGCGAGGAUGAAAUGAGAUAAACUGUGAAGUGCCGGGCUCAUAAUAGGUACUCAAACAUGGACAACUUUUCUUUCUUUCUUUUUUUUUUUUUUUUGCGGAAGAUUAGCCCUGAGCUAACAUCUGUUGCCAAUCCUCCUCUUUUUGCUGAGGAAGACUGGCCCUGAGCUCACAUCCGUGCCCAUCUUCCUCUACUUUAUAUGUGGGACACCUGCCACAGCAUGGCUGGCCAAGCGGUGCCAUCCGCACCCGGGAUCCGAACCGGCGAACCCCAGGCUGCUGAAGCGGAACGUGCAAACUUAACCGCCGCAGCACCAGGCCGGCCCCUGGACAACUUUUUGUAUGAGUUACCCACUCCCCCAUCCCAUGUUACCCUCAGGAGCCUGCCCUGUGAGCCUGAAUUCCCAGCUCCUUUGUUGAAAGUGCUGUUCAAGGCAGCGCCAGGCACUGUUUGUGUGGGAGGACGAUACAAACAUGAAGCAGAAACAAAUGUGGCAAAGUCUUGAUAGUUGCAGAAUCCAGGUGUUGGGGCUUCGUUGUACCGUCCACUUCUUCGUGCAGGUUUGAAAAACAAACUCUAAGAGAACGCAGAAGCACUUCUUGUCUGCAAGAGUGUUACAUCUGUCUCAGAGGAGAGAAGCAAGCCAGCAACUAAUUUUUAUGCCAGGCAGAACGUGCAAGGAGGCCCUCCAAGAGGGACUCAGAAGUGCUGCAAACCGUGCAGGAGGGGAAGAUGACUUCACCUGAGGCACUGUGGGCCGCUUCCUGGAGGCAGGGGCAGUUCAGCUGGGCCUGCGAGGAAGAGAAUUUGAUUUUCAGAGAACAGGGUGGGGGGCCUGGUUCCAGUGGUCCAGGCUCAGAGGACAGCUGCCAACUGCACAGGCUGUGGGACAGACGUGACUGUCACUGAAUUGGAAACAGAGGCUCAGAGAAGUGAAAGAACUUAACUCACUGAAGGCCACACAGCUAAGAACGAGUAGAGGUAAGAUUCAAACUCAGGUCUCGGUCUCCAAACCCGCAUACUAUGUGCUUCUGCUGUCUGCUCCAGUCUCCAGCAUGCUUUGCUGUCUUGCUCCUCACUAGCGAUGCCUUCUCCCAAUUAGUAGAUUAGUCAUGUGUUGACACUUCUAGUCUCAGUCUAAUGGCUUGUUUAUUUAACUGAUGGAUGCUGCUCCCCAUUUAAGGCCAUUAGCAUUUAAACAAAACAAAACAAAACUGUUGAGCCUGGCAAAGUGACACUGUGUUUACUGUUUUUCUCCCAGUGUUAAUUGUGAGCAUUUUCCAAAUAUGUAUUUUGAUGUGCUAACGGUCCCUAAAGAGACCUGCGGAAUAGUUUAGUAAUCUUCUCAUGCAGCUCCAGCCCCGCUCCCCCUAAUCUCCUUGGUGAGGGGGACAAAUGACCCAGGGGGCCAGCCUUGGGUAGGAUGGGGAAGAGCGAUGGUGACAGUCCCAUUCUGAAUAAUUAGGGGGCAGAGAGGCUGGGCUGGGUCCACAACUCUGUCUUUGGGGGCUAAGCCCUGGAGCAGCCCCCGCAGCUUGGGGAG